AGUCACACAACAAAAACUGCUUCCCAGGAUUGCAUAUGUGUAUAAUCGGAUUAAAUCUCAGAAUAAUUAUUUUACCUUACUUGUUUUCAAAAUUGAGACCCAAAGUGGUUCACACUUAAGAAGCAGUGUGAUUUAAAACAUACAAAAGAUAAAUAUUAAAACAUAUCCAAAAGCUUCUUAAUUUGGUGACAUUUUAGCUGGCUUAAUGAAGGUGUAGCACUAAAAUGUGUUUUUGCAUUUCUCUUACUUAUGUUCUGUUUGCUUUCUGUGUGACUUAGAUAAGAUUCAGUUUAGUCAUUCUGGAAUGGAAUCCCAAAUUGGAAGAAGAGGGUUUUACAUCAAAUGAAUAAUUGUUUUUAUUUUAGGAUAAUUUCCCCAACUACUGAGGCCUAAAUCCAAUCAAUGCUCCCAACAUCAGUUCAUCCAUUGAUAAAUCAAAACUUUAUUUAGUAAAUGUACACUAGUUGAGAUUCAAAUUGAAUUUAGUCCUCAUUAAAUUUACUUUUAUUGUUACCCAGUUGAUUGUUUUUCCAAAGGUAAUGCAACACUUAAGAUUAAUUUUUUGGGUAUAUAAAAAUCUAGUUUUUGUUUGCUUCUGUUUUUUCCCUAACAAGGAACCAGUCCAAUCAAGUUGCAUGUGGACUUGUGUUAUGAUUGAGCCUCAUGGCUCUGCUUCUGGCAGACGUGGACGUAAGACUCCUCGAGAGUCAGAUACUCUCGAGGAGCGAGAAAGAAAGAGGCUGCGAGAUAUCUUUGCAGAACCGUCUGACGAAGAGUCUUUUAAGGGGUUCACGGAGAGAAUGGAGGAAGAGCUGGUUAGCUCGGAAGAGGAUGAGAUGGAUUGGACUCGGGUAAGGGAGGAGUUGGGUGCCACUGGCAAUAAUGGGAUGGAAGAUGAAUGGGGACCUUCAGGAUUAGACCCAUGGACAAGCUGGAGGGAUGGGACGGGAUCCACAGCUGGGGAUGCUGUGGGGCGUAGUCAGAGGUGUUCCAGCUCUGAUGAGGAAAGUGAUGAGGAAACGCCCGGGUUAAGGAGGGCAGCUGAUAGUGAUGAGGAUUUGUAACUGGCAUAAAAUGAGGCUUGGGAGCAAUUGCAAAUUGCGUUGGGCAAGGUAAUCUGGACGAACGCUUGGGAUCUGUGUGGGACGCUUUCCUGAAGACUGGUGUGUUUUCGUGUGCUGAUACCUUUGACCUUCCGUCGUCUUCUUGACGGACGCCAUCUGCUACUCUGGAUUUACGGACUGAAAACUGACUACGGGCUCGCUUUCUCCUAUUGGACUUGGAAAACUGCAAACGUCUGAUUCUGCCUCUCGACCUUCGGAACGAAUUGGGACUACGCUACUGCUUCAAUCCUUGGCUGUUGAGUUUGUAUUGGAAAUUUGCCUUGCUGUGUGAAGGAGUGACUCCUAGUUACUCAAAACAUAGUGCUGGCAGCAGAGAAUUAUCUGCUGCCAAUUAGUUGCAUUCUUUUGAACUCUUUGUUUCCCAGCUUCUGUUUGUUUUUCCCCAGGCUGAAGCAAGCUGUUUUGAUUUUACCCGGAUUAAACUCCGGUUUAAUCCGGUUUAUCUUUUGAACGUUUUUUCUUGCCCCUUUUUGUUUUUAAAGGCUAAGUUGCCUUGCCCUUGUCUUUUACGGGCAUUUUGAGUUCUGUAAAUCCAAUAAACUCUGUUAUCUUUGA